rnacentral:rRNA from 1 species
AGUGAACGCUGGCGGCGUGCUUAACACAUGCAAGUCGAACGAGAACGGAUUAUAGCUUGCUAUAAUUGUCAGCUAAGUGGCGCACGGGUGAGUAAUGUAUAGGUAAUAUGCCUCUUACUAAGGGAUAACAAAUGGAAACGUUUGCUAAUACCUUAUACUCCUUAUUAACAGAAGUUAAUAAGGGAAAGAUUUAUUGGUAAGAGAUUAGCCUGUAUUGUAUCAGUUAGUUGGUGGGGUAACGGCCUACCAAGACUAUGACACAUAACUGGUUUGAGAGGAUGAUCAGUCACACUGGAACUGAGCAACGGUCCAGACUCCUACGGGAGGCAGCAGUGGGGAAUAUUGCACAAUGGACGAAAGUCUGAUGCAGCAACGCCGCGUGGAGGAUGACACAUUUCGGUGCGUAAACUCCUUUUAUAUGAGAAGAUAAUGACGGUAUUAUAUGAAUAAGCACCGGCUAACUCCGUGCCAGCCGCCGCAGUAA